rnacentral:rRNA from 1 species
UUGAACGCUGGCGGCAUGCUUUACACAUGCAAGUCGAACGGCAGCGGGGGCUUCGGCCCGCCGGCGAGUGGCGAACGGGUGAGUAAUAUAUCGGAACAUAUCCUGUCGUGGGGGAUAACUAAUCGAAAGGUUAGCUAAUACCGCAUACGACCUGAGGGGGAAAGCGGGGGAUCGCAAGACCUCGCGUGAUUGGAGCGGCCGAUGUCGGAUUAGCUAGUUGGUGGGGUAAAGGCCUACCAAGGCGACGAUCCGUAGCGGGUCUGAGAGGAUGAUCCGCCACACUGGGACUGAGACACGGCCCAGACUCCUACGGGAGGCAGCAGUGGGGAAUUUUGGACAAUGGGGGCAACCCUGAUCCAGCCAUGCCGCGUGAGUGAAGAAGGCCUUCGGGUUGUAAAGCUCUUUCAGACGGAAAGAAAUCGGGCGGGUGAAUAGCCUGCCUGGAUGACGGUACUGUCAGAAGAAGCACCGGCUAACUACGU